CUUAGGCGUGUGACUGCGUACCUUUUGUAUAAUGGGUCAGCGACUUAUAUUCUGUAGCAAGGUUAACCGAAUAGGGGAGCCGAAGGGAAACCGAGUCUUAACUGGGCGUUAAGUUGCAGGGUAUAGACCCGAAACCCGGUGAUCUAGCCAUGGGCAGGUUGAAGGUUGGGUAACACUAACUGGAGGACCGAACCGACUAAUGUUGAAAAAUUAGCGGAUGACUUGUGGCUGGGGGUGAAAGGCCAAUCAAACCGGGAGAUAGCUGGUUCUCCCCGAAAGCUAUUUAGGUAGCGCCUCGUGAAUUCAUCUCCGGGGGUAGAGCACUGUUUCGGCAAGGGGGUCAUCCCGACUUACCAACCCGAUGCAAACUGCGAAUACCGGAGAAUGUUAUCACGGGAGACACACGGCGGGUGCUAACGUCCGUCGUGAAGAGGGAAACAACCCAGACCGCCAGCUAAGGUCCCAAAGUCAUGGUUAAGUGGGAAACGAUGUGGGAAGGCCCAGACAGCCAGGAUGUUGGCUUAGAAGCAGCCAUCAUUUAAAGAAAGCGUAAUAGCUCACUGGUCGAGUCGGCCUGCGCGGAAGAUGUAACGGGGCUAAACCAUGCACCGAAGCUGCGGCAGCGACGCUGAUGCGUUGUUGGGUAGGGGAGCGUUCUGUAAGCCUGCGAAGGUGUGCUGUGAGGCAUGCUGGAGGUAUCAGAAGUGCGAAUGCUGACAUAAGUAACGAUAAAGCGGGUGAAAAGCCCGCUCGCCGGAAGACCAAGGGUUCCUGUCCAACGUUAAUCGGGGCAGGGUGAGUCGACCCCUAAGGCGAGGCCGAAAGGCGUAGUCGAUGGGAAACAGGUUAAUAUUCCUGUACUUGGUGUUACUGCGAAGGGGGGACGGAGAAGGCUAUGUUGGCCGGGCGACGGUUGUCCCGGUUUAAGCGUGUAGGCUGGUUUUCCAGGCAAAUCCGGAAAAUCAAGGCUGAGGCGUGAUGACGAGGCACUGCGGUGCUGAAGCAACAAAUGCCCUGCUUCCAGGAAAAGCCUCUAAGCAUCAGGUAACAUCAAAUCGUACCCCAAACCGACACAGGUGGUCAGGUAGAGAAUACCAAGGCGCUUGAGAGAACUCGGGUGAAGGAACUAGGCAAAAUGGUGCCGUAACUUCGGGAGAAGGCACGCUGAUAUGUAGGUGAAGUCCCUCGCGGAUGGAGCUGAAAUCAGUCGAAGAUACCAGCUGGCUGCAACUGUUUAUUAAAAACACAGCACUGUGCAAACACGAAAGUGGACGUAUACGGUGUGACGCCUGCCCGGUGCCGGAAGGUUAAUUGAUGGGGUUAGCGCAAGCGAAGCUCUUGAUCGAAGCCCCGGUAAACGGCGGCCGUAACUAUAACGGUCCUAAGGUAGCGAAAUUCCUUGUCGGGUAAGUUCCGACCUGCACGAAUGGCGUAAUGAUGGCCAGGCUGUCUCCACCCGAGACUCAGUGAAAUUGAACUCGCUGUGAAGAUGCAGUGUACCCGCGGCAAGACGGAAAGACCCCGUGAACCUUUACUAUAGCUUGACACUGAACAUUGAGCCUUGAUGUGUAGGAUAGGUGGGAGGCUUUGAAGUGUGGACGCCAGUCUGCAUGGAGCCGACCUUGAAAUACCACCCUUUAAUGUUUGAUGUUCUAACGUUGACCCGUAAUCCGGGUUGCGGACAGUGUCUGGUGGGUAGUUUGACUGGGGCGGUCUCCUCCUAAAGAGUAACGGAGGAGCACGAAGGUUGGCUAAUCCUGGUCGGACAUCAGGAGGUUAGUGCAAUGGCAUAAGCCAGCUUGACUGCGAGCGUGACGGCGCGAGCAGGUGCGAAAGCAGGUCAUAGUGAUCCGGUGGUUCUGAAUGGAAGGGCCAUCGCUCAACGGAUAAAAGGUACUCCGGGGAUAACAGGCUGAUACCGCCCAAGAGUUCAUAUCGACGGCGGUGUUUGGCACCUCGAUGUCGGCUCAUCACAUCCUGGGGCUGAAGUAGGUCCCAAGGGUAUGGCUGUUCGCCAUUUAAAGUGGUACGCGAGCUGGGUUUAGAACGUCGUGAGACAGUUCGGUCCCUAUCUGCCGUGGGCGCUGGAGAACUGAGGGGGGCUGCUCCUAGUACGAGAGGACCGGAGUGGACGCAUCACUGGUGUUCGGGUUGUCAUGCCAAUGGCACUGCCCGGUAGCUAAAUGCGGAAGAGAUAAGUGCUGAAAGCAUCUAAGCACGAAACUUGCC
rnacentral:rRNA from 1 species